rnacentral:lncRNA from 1 species
GCAGUUCGGAAGGACCCGAGUCCCUUAACUAACCGAGAGCUAACAGGUCGGGGACUGCGGGACGGAAGAGGGAGGGGAAGAUGAAGAAAAUCGGUGAUGAAUGGCUGGCGGAAAUGAUUGGCGGAAAGAAAGAGCCAGUUCACAGUGCGCCUUUGUAUUCGGCGGGAAACCCGGCCGAAGAGGGAGCUGGAAAGGACUCCGGAAUCCGGCCGUAAUUCCAGCCAAUCAGGGAGUAGAGUUGCGGGGCGGGGUUGGGGCGGGGCAGUCUCGCGGGAGAUAGUUUCGCGGGUUCGGGAGGCGAGUCUCCGGUUUCCGCCCAGUCUCUGGGGACGCGGUGGCGGGGUCUGAAUCGCCUGGCUUCCAGGGAGUUUUGGGCGGGUCCCCGCACGGGAGCGUGGCAGGCGCUGGACUCGACAGCAGAUGUGGAACUGGAGAGCUUGGCGCGCCCUCAUACUUUGUCACACACCUACGCCACCAGACUGGGGUCGGGCCCCUCCGCGUUCUGCUCUGGAGGGCCUGGGUCUGGGCCCAGCAUAGCGCUUUUAGAAUCUCCUCAGCUGAAUCUGACGCUCAGCCGUAGGUGAAGCUUAGCCCGCUGUUUCAGGCCCCGCCGAUCUGGAAGGAGUGUCAGAGCUGGAGCGCGCGUGGCCUCAUCGGUGUUGGGGUCACCCCGGGGUUGCCAGGGCUCAUGGAGGGUCGUAGUCUGGAUUUUGUCACCCCCACGUCCCCGCCCCGCAGCAAGUCUGGGGUUGGAGAACUCACGCGGUCUUCGUAAGCUACAUGCCAGUUGACCCUCGAGGAGGGAUGCUCCCUCCCCUUAAGCGUCCACGCUGGAGAAGGAGUAAGAUGGACAAUUGCCUGGGGAGCCUGACAGGGCGGUGGCAGCUGGGAUGCUGGAGAGGACUGGCCCCUUGUGUUACUGAGUCCAAGGAAUAUGCUUGCUCUGCUCUAGGAACCGCGUUCAGGUUACAGUCAUCCCAGUAGAGUCCUGAAGAUGCGUGGUUCAGGUCACUUAGGACUUGACCAGAUACCGGGUUUCUUUUACAAGCCGUUUACUACUGGCAGAGCUCAUCUAAAACUUUUUUUGUUUGUUUGUUUGAGACGGAGUCUCAUUCUGUCGCCCAGGCUGGAGUGCAGUGGCACGAUUUUGGCUCACUGCAACCUCCGCUUCCCGGGUUCAAGCAGUUCUCUGCCUCAGCCUCCCGAGUAGCUGGGAUUACAGGCACCACCUAAUUAGCCCGCCACCACGCCCGGCUAAUUUUUGUAUUUUUAGUAGAGACGGGGUUUCACCAUCUUGGCUAGGCUGGUCUUGAACUCCUGACCUCGUGAUCCACCCGCCUCGGCCUCCCAGAGUGCUGGGAUUACAGGCGUGAGCCACCGCACCUGGCCUAAAACUGAUUUUUUAUUAAUUUUGGGGCUUUUAAUAUUUUUUUCUUAUUUCUAAAUUCUGAGGUUAUUUAUAGUAGCCCCAUAUACGGGAUUAGAUAAUCUCUUGUGAUUUUCUAUUUCUGGUAAUUAUUUCUAAUAUAUGUUUUUUUGUUUUUGAGACGGAGUCUCGCUAUGUCGCUCAGGGUGGAGUGCAGUGGCAUGAUCUCCGCUCUUUGUAGCCUCUGCCUCCCGGGUUCAAAUGAUCCUCCCACCUCAGCCCCCCGAGUAGCUUGGACCACAGGUGCAUGCCACCACGCCGGCUAAUUUUUCUAUUUUUGGUAGAGUUGGGGUUUCACUAUGUUGACCAGACUGGUCUAGAUCUCAAGGGAUUAGUCUCCCUUGGCCUCCCAAAAUGCUGGGAUAAUGGGCAUGAGCCACCGUGCGUGGCCUUAAAGUUACUAUUCUUAAAGUUUGCACAAGUGAUAUGUUAAAGGCACAGACUUAGUAAUAUAAUGUCAUUAUAAUAAUAACCCUAAAACACAUUGUCUCAUAUUGUGUUGUACCUAAACAAGUGAAAUUAAGAAGAAAAUUGAAGGAAAUGUUUCUGGUAAAUUGCAGAUAGUGAAUCUUUUGUCUUAUACUAUCAAAUAGGUAUUGACUAUUCCAGCUUUCUUAUUUGUUGAGGAAGAUGGCAGAAAUCCCGUUUUACAGAGGGAUAGACUUUGAAGGAUAAUACCCAAAGCUGCAUAGCUGUGGCUGGUAUAGGCCCCAAACCUGAUGUUUCUUCUCUAAAUCUACUGCCUUUGCCAUCUCAACAGCCUGGUUUUUGACAGUUAUCUAUGUAUGAGUUGCAUAAAUCGUUCAUUCAUGGAGCAAAUAAUUAUUGAGUGGCCACUAUGCCAACAGCACUGCUAUAGAUGCUAGAGAUACCCUAGUGAACCAGCAAAGUUUCUGCUCUCAGCUCAUAUUCUGGUGGAGGAGACAACGAUCAAGUUAAAGAAAUACAUAGGCUAAUUUUAGAGAUUAUGACAUGCUAUAUUUUAAAAAUAGGCAAGCUAAGAGGAUAGGCAGUGAUGCUGGGAGGUGGGAAAGUUUUGUCUCAGAAAUGUGGUAAGAGAUUUCUUUGGGCAUCUGACUUCAGCAGAAACCUUAAUGAAGAGAGGAACUUGGAAUGUAAAAGAAAGAAAGCAGGGAUUUGCUCUGAGCAACUGGAAAGAUGGAAUUGCCAUUCGCUGAGUUGAAAUAAAGUAAAAUGUAGGACUAGGUUUUGGGGUUAAGAUUAUGAAUUCGGCUUUAGACAUUUUUAGAUUUCUCUUAGACAUCCAAAUGGAGAGAAGAUAUUUAAAUCCAUGGGAUUGAAUGAGAUCCAACCAAGGGUAUUGUAGGUAGAGAGAGGACCAAAGACUGACACCUAGAACCUUUCAGUGUUCAGAAUGCAAGGAGACAGGAGGAACCAAGAGGGAAGAUUGAAAAGGAGAGUCCAGCUGGGAGCUGUGGCUACACCUUUACUAAUCCCAGCACUUUGGGAGACCAAAUACAGGAAGAUCACUUGAAUCCAGGAGUUUGUAGAACAGCCUUAGCAACAUAGCAAGACCCUGUCUCUACAAAAAUAAAAAUUAAAAAAUUUGCCUGUAAUCCGAGCAUUUUGGAGGCCGAGGUGGGUGGAUCAGCUGAGGUCAGGAGUUUGAGACCAACUUGGCCAACACAGUGAAACCCCGUCUCUACUAAAAAUACAAAAAUUAGCUGGGCGUGAUGGCUGGCACCUGUAAUCCCAGCUACUCGGGAGGCCGAGGCAGGAGAAUCCCUUGAACCUAGGAGGCAGAGGUUGCAGUGAGCCGAGAUCACGCCACUGCACUCCAGCCUGGGAGACAGAGCGAGACUCCAUCUCAAAAUAAAUAAAUAAAUAAAAAUUUAAAAAGUUAGCUGGGCGUGGUGGCAUGUACCUGUAGUCCCAGUUACUCAGAAGGCUGAGGUGGGAGGAUCCUGUGAGCCUAGGAGUUGGAAACUUCAGUAAGCUAUAAUCAUCACACUGCACUCCAACCUAGGCAACAGAGCAAGACCCUGUCUCUUAAAAGGAAAGGAGAGUCCAGUGUGUUCUAAGGAAAACCCCAAGAGCAUCCCACCUUAGAAUACAAGUGAGGAGGCCUGGCAUGGUGUCUCAUGCCUGUAAUCCCAGCACUUUGGGAGGCCAAGGUGGGUGGAUCACUUGAGGUCAGGAGUUCUAGACCAGCCUGACAAACAUGGCGAAACCUCCGUCUCUAUAAAAAUACAAAAAUUAGCCAGGUGUGGUAGCGCGUGCCUGUAAUCCCAGCUACUAGGGAGGCUGAGGCAGGAGAACUGCUUGAACUCAGGGGGCAGAGUUUGCAGUGAGCCGAGAUAGUGCCACUGCACUCCAGCCUGAGCAACAGAGUGAGACUCUGUCUCAAAAACAAACAAGUAAACAAACAAAAAAAAAAACAAGACAAGUGAAGAAUGUGUUUCAUGGAAAAAGAGGUAAUUAAUUCUGUCAAGUGUUGCAAAUUGGUCAAAUAAAGAAUGAAAAUCAACCUUUCACAGCAAAUAGAAGGAAAAAAUAUUUUUAUUUAAAUGCUUAUAAAGGCAGUUGCUAGAAAAAAUGUUUACUUUUUGCAGAGGCCCCGUUUUUACAACCUUUUUCAGGGGUAAUUUGAUAUGAUAAUAUCUACGGGAAAAAAAAUGUUUUUUUUUUUGAGUCGCUCUGUCACCAGGCUGGAGUGCAGUGGCAUGAUCUCGGCUCACUGAAACCUCCGCCUCCCAGGUUCAAGCAAUUCUUCUGCCUCAGCCUCCCAAGUAGCUGGGACUACAGGUGGGCGCCACCACACCCAGCUAAUUUUUGUAUUUUUAGUAGAGACGGGGUUUCACCAUGUUGGCCAGGAUGGUCUCAAUCUUGACCUCGUGAUCUGCCUUCCUUGGCCUCCCAAAGUGCUGGGAUUGGUACAGGUGUGAACCACCAUACCUGGCCCGAAAAUUUUAAAUUUGUAUUUUCUUUGACAUUGUAAUUCCACUUCCAGGAUUUUUUUUUUUUGGACAGGAUUUUACUCUGUCACCCAGGCUGGAGUGCAGUAACACAAUCAGCUCACUGCAACCCUGAACUCCUGGGCUAAAGUGAUCCUUCUGAGUAGUUGGGACUAUAGGCACAUGCCACCACCCCUGAUUAAUUAAAAAAUUUUCCUGUAGAGAUAGUCUUGCUAUGUUGCCCAGACUGGUCUCCAGCUCCUGGCCUCAAACCAUCCUCCCACCUUGACCUUCCAAAACGUUGGGAUUACAGGCGUGAGCCACCUCUCCCAGUUUAGGAAUUUAUCUUAAAGUAAUAUUUACAUAUAAAGAAAGAUGUAUAGGCUGGGUGCAGUGGUUCACGCCUGUAAUCCCAGCACUUUGGAAGGCCGAGGCUGGUGGAUCAACUGAGGUCAGGAGUUCAAGACCAACCUGGCUAACAUGGCGAAACCCCAUCUCUACUAAAAAUACAAAAAUUAGCUGGGCGUGGUGGCCAGCCCCUGUAAUCCCAGCUACUCGGGAGGCUGAGGCAGGAGGAUAGCUUAAACCCAGGAGACGAAGGUUGCAGUGAGCCAAGAUUACACCAUUGCACUCCAGCCUGAGCAACAAAAGCGAAACUCCAUCUCAAAAAAACAAAAACUAAAACUAAACAAAACAAAAAAACCAUGUGUAAAACUGUUAAUCACAACACUGAUUUCAAUAGCAAAAAACAAAAUUUCUGUCAGGAUGGAUGCAGUUGUUAAAGGAACAGCAGAUACAUAUGUAUAGACAUGUAAGAUAGCUUUCAUACUUUUUUUUUUGAGAUGGAAUUUCGUUCUUGUCACCCAGGCUGGAAUGCAAUGGUGAGAUCUAGGCUCCGCUUCUCAGGUUCAAGUGAUUCUCCUGCCUCAGCCUCCUGAGUAAGCUGGGAAUACAGGCGCCCGCCACCACGCCCAGGUAAUUUUUGUAUGUUUAGUAGAGACAGGGUUUCGCCAUAUUGGCGAGGCUUGUCUCAAACUCCUGACCUCAGGUGAUCCACCCACCUCCAAAAGUGUUGGGAUUACAGGCAUCACCCACCACGCGUGACCAGCUUUUAUACAUUUUUAAAUGAUAAAGACAGGUUAAUAAAAUGUAUAAUAUUAUGUUGCUAUAUCCAAAAAAAGGCCUUCUUUGAUUACACUAUCAAAAGUUACCUCUCCAUCUACAUCCCCAUUACUAUCUCAUUAACCUGUUUUAUUCAUAGCACUUACUACCAUCUAAAAUGACUUUAUUUCUUUAUAUUUUUGUUUGCUACCUGUCUUUUACACCAGAAUUUAAUUUUUAAGCUUUUUUUGUUUGUUUGUUUGUUUGUUUUGAGAUGGAGUCUUGCUCUGUUGCCCAGACUGGAGUGCAGUGGUGCGAUCUCAGCUCACUGCAACCUCUGCCUCCUGGGUUCAAUCAAUCCUCCUGCCUCAGCCUCCCAAGUAGCUGGGAUUACAGGCAUGUGCCACCAUGCCCAGCUAAUUUUUGCAUUUUUAGUACAGCAGGGUUUCACCAUGUUGGUCAAGCUGGUCUCAAACUCCUGACCUCAGGAGAUCCGUCAGCCUUGGCCUCCCAAAGUGUUGGGAUUACAGGCGUGAGCCACAGCACCCAGCCAGAAUUUAAACUUUAUAAGAGAUUUCCUGUCUUGUUCAUACUUAUAUACCUGCAGCUUCGAAACAUAUAUAUAUGUUUAAUAUAUAUAAUAGAUAUAUUUUAAAUUAUAUAUAGAGAGAUGGAGUUUCACUCUUGUUGCCCAGACUGGAGUGCAAUGGCGUGAUCUCGGCUCACCACAACCUCUGCCCCCCGGGUUCAAGCAAUUCUCCUGCCUCAGCCUCCAGAGUAGUUGGAAUUACAGGCACGUGCCACCAUGCCUGGCUAAUUUUGUAUUUUUAGUAGAGACAGAGUUUCUCCAUGUUGGUCAGGCUGGUCUCGAGCUCUUGACCUCAGGUAGUCUGCCUGCCUCGGCCUCACAAAGUGCUGGGAUUACAAGCAUGAGUCACUGUGCCCUGCCAGAAUUUAAGCUUUAUAAGAGAUUUCCUGUCUGUUUAUACUUAAAUACCUGCAGCUUGGAAACAUAUAUAUGUUUAUAUGUAUAUAUUACAUACAUUAUAUAUAUAUUUUUAUAUAUUAUAAUUAUAAACUCCUGACCUCAGGUGAUCCACCUGCCUCAGUCUCUCAAAUGCUGGGAUUACAGGCGUGAGCCACCACGCCAGGCCAGAAACAUAUUUUUAAAAAUCUUGUUUUAGAGGAAAAACAGAGUAUUUCUUUUUUUUUUUUUAUUAGAUGGAUUCUCACUCUAUUGCCCAGGCUGGAGUACAGUGGCACAAUCUUGGCUCACCGCAACCUCAGCCUCCCGGGUUCAAGCAAUUCUCCUGCCUCAGCCUCCCGAGUAGUUGGAACUAUAGGCGUGAGCCACCAUGCCCUGCUAAUUUUUGUAUUUUUAGUGCAGAUGGGGUUUCACUAUGUUGGCCAGGCUGGUCUCGAACUCCUGACCUUGUGAUCUGCCCACCUCGGCCUCCCAAAGUGCUGGGAUUACAGGUGUGAGCCACUGCGCCCGGCCUAUUUCUUCUUCUCUUUGUUUAGUUAUUAUCUAUUACUCUCAUUCCUAUGAACAUAACUUGUUUCUCCCCACUUAAUUUUUAUCAUACAUAAUUGUAGACAGUGGGCACUGUCUUCAAUUAUAGUGAAUUUAGCAGUAAAUUCACAUUAGACCAACUUGUAUAGCUUUAAAAAAUAUAUUUAUGUCUAGGUUCCACCCUUGACCAACUAAGUCAGAACUUGGGUGGGUUCAAGGUUCAUUAUUCUUUGAAGAUAAGAUGAUGUUUGAAUAAAAUUCCUGGUGAUUCUGGUAUCAAAAAUACAAAUUUGGGACAUACUUUUUCUGCUGUAAAAAUAUUUUCCUAAGGCCAGGCGCAGUGGCUCACGCCUGUAAUCCUAGCACUUUGGGAGACGGAGGCGGCGGAUCACUUGAGGCCAGGAGUUCAAGACCAGUCUGGCCAACAUGGUGAAACCCAGUCUCUACUAAAAAUAGAAAAAAUUAGCCAGGCAUGGUGGCACGUGCCUGUAGUCCCAGCUACUCAAGAGGCUGAGGCAGGAGAAUCCUUUGAACCCGGGAGGCAGAGGUUGCAGUGAGCCGAUAUUGCAGCACUGCACUCCAGCCUGGGUGACAGAUCAAAACUCUGUCUCAGAAAAAAAAAAAAAAAAAAAAAGAAUUUCCUAGAAUUAGAAUCGCAGGGGUUUUUUUUGUUUUGUUUGUUUGUUUGUUUGUUUGUUUUUGAGACAGAGUUUCACUCCUGUCGCCCAGGCUGGAGUGCAAUGCCAUGAUCUCGGCUCAUUGCAACCUCUGCCUCCUGAGUUCAAGCAAUCCUCCUGCCUCAGCCUCCCGAAUAGCUGGGAUUACAGGCACCUGCCACCAUGCCCAGCUAAUUUUUGUAUUUUUAGUAGAGACUGGGUUUUACCAUGUUGGCCAAGCUGGUCUCGAACUCCUGACGUCAGGUGAUCCACCCAGCUCAUUCUCCCAAAGUGCUGGAAUUACAAGCAUGAGCCACUGCACUCGGCCUUUAUUUAUUUAUUUAUUUUUGAGAUGAAGUCUUGCUCUGUUGCCCAAGCUGGAGUGCAAUGGCAUGAUCUCGGCUCACUGCAACCUCCACCUCCCAGGUUCAAGCAAUUCUCCUGCCUCAGCCCCCUGAGUAGCUGGGAUUACAGGCGUGCACCACCACGCCUGGCUAAUUUUUGUAUUUUUAGUAGAGACAGGGUUUCACUAUGUUGGUCAGGUUAGUCUCGAGCUCCUGACUUCGUGAUCCGCCCGCCUCAGCCUUCCAAAGUGUUGGGAUUACAGGCGUGAGCCACCGCGCCUGGCCAGAAUCCCAGUUUUUUAACACAUCUAAUGCUUUAGGAAUAGUAAAUGGAAACAUCAUUUCCCCUUCUUUCGAAGUACUUCUACCUUGAUGAGAUGUAUGUAUUGGAGUACAAUAUUUGACCUAGCCAAGAAUUUCACAAAAGAAGCCCAAAAUAUGAUUUUCACGUUUACUGGACUGUUCACUUUUGGUGGGAUCACUUUCUUAAGAUUACUUAAAGUACUAAUGCUUGAUGAAAAUCAUUUGUGUUUUCACUUCAUUAAUUGGAGAAAGAGCUACAUGUUUUUGUUGUUGUUGUUGUUGUUUUGAGAUGGUGUCUUGCUCUGUCUCCCAGGCUGGAGUGCAAUGGCGUGAUCUCAGCUCACUGCAACCUCCGCCUCCCGGGUUCAAGCGAUUCUCCUGCCUCAGCCUCCUGAGUAGCUGGGACUACAGGCGCCUGCCACCACGCCCAGCUAAUUUUUAUACUUUUAAUAGAGACAGGGUUUCACCAUAUUGGCCAGGAUGGUCUCAAUCUCUUGACCUUGUGAUCCACCCGCCUUGGCCUCCCAAAGUGCUGGGAUUACAGGCGUGAGCCACUGCGCCCAGCCAGAGCUACAGGUUUUACUGUAACACUUUAGAAGGUCCUUUUUCUUUGUACCUCUGUGAUGUGUUCACCUAGCAACAGCUUCUUUGAUAUGCAAACAUUCUACAGGCAAAUUGCUCAGAGCAGCUACUCAUGUUGGACAAUUCAGGUCUCUUCUGGAAACUGGCCUUGUAUUUGGAAUUUUCUCCAGAGUCUGAUGUGGUAAAAAUUUAUACUUUUCACUUCUUACUAAAUGCAGCAUAGCAUACUACAUCUUUUGAGUGUGUAAAAAAUAAAGUAGUCAUGUACAAACCUAAAAUCACAGAAUAAUCAUGUAACGGUGCUAUAUUUUAUUUUUACUUUAGAUUCCUAAUACAUUUUUAUUGUAUCUUUAUAAGGUUAGUUUGGGAGAAUAGCACUAUCAUCAUCUAUAUUAGUUAACUUUGCAUUAAGGUUUUUCAUUAAGGUUUUUCCCCUGUUUGGUUCUUUCAUUUUACGAUCCAUAUUUUUUGUGCCUGGUAUGGGAUGAUAAAGAUAACAGAAAUAGCUCCUGUUUUUAGGUACCUUUAUUUGUUUGUUUGUUUGGAGACAGGGUCUUACUCUGUCACCCAGGCUGGUGGCACAAUCAUAGCUUACUACAGACUAACUCCUGGCUCAAGCCAUCCUCCACCUCAGCCUCCCAAGUAACUGAGAUUACAGGUGCACACCACCACCUCUGGCUAAUUAUUAAAAUUUUCAUAGAGACAGGAUCUCACUUGGUUGGCCAGACUGAUCUCAAACUCCUGGUCUCAAGUGAUCCUCCCACCCCAGCCUCCUGAAGUACUAGGAUUGCAGGCAUGAACCACUGCCCUGGCCUAGAUACAUUUAAUGUAGUAGAGGAGAUGAGAUUUUUACAUAGUAUAAUAUUGAAUGAGACAACAGUCAAAAGAAAAUCACAUACUAUAAGAGAAGAGAUUACCCUUACCUUUUAGGAAUCAAGAAAACUCCCUGGAGGAGAUGGUACUUGAACUUAUACUGGAGGAUUUAUAUGUUCAUCCUUCUUGGUUUAUAUUUUGUCCCACACGGUAGCUUGUUUCUUUUUUCUUUUUUUUCUUUUUCUUUUUUUUUUUUUGAGGCAGAGUUUUGCUCUGUUGCCCAGGCUAGAGUGCAGUGGCGCGAUCUCGGCUCACUGCAACCUCCACCUCCUGGGUUCAAGCGAUUCUCCUGCCUCAGCCUCCCUAGUAGCUUGUUUCUUAGAGACAGUGUGAGUGAAACUCAUUAAGUAAAGUCAAUACAGCACAAGUUUCAUAAAAUGGUAAAGAAAUAGAAAUAAAAGUAAAGGAUGAAAUUCUUAAGAACUUUGUCAGGCCAGGCGUGGUGGCUCAUGCCUGUAAUCCCAGCACUUUGGGAGGCCGAGGUGGGUGGAUCACCUGAGGUCAGGAGUUUGAGACCAGCCUGGCCAACAUGGCAAAACCCUGUCUCUCUAAAAAUACAAAAAUUAGCUGGGCAUGCUGGCGGGUGCCUAUAAUCCCAGCUACUCGGGAGGCUGAGGCAGGAGAAUCGCUUGAACCCAGGAGGCGGAGGUUGCAGUGAGCCGAGAUCACAUCAUUCCACUCCAGCCUGGGUGCCAAGAGCAAAAAACUCCAUCUUGAAAAAUAAAGAACUUUGUCUCCAGUAUCAUUCUUGUUCUAGGACUGAGAAACAGUUCAUUCUUCAUUUUCGUCUACUAAAAUUUAAGUUCUUUGAUUUUCUUCUUUAGGUCUUGGAAAAAGAAUUAAUAGAGUAAUUUUCUUAGGUAUCAAGUAAUGAAAAUGAGAAAAGAGACUAGUCUCAUUAUAGAUUUUUUUUUUUAUUCUUAUUUUAUUUUAUUUGAGACAAGGUCUCGCUCUGUCACCCAGGCUGGAGUGUAGUGGCUCCAUUAUGGUUCCCUGCAGCCUUGAACUCAGGGGCCCAAGCAAUCCUCCCACCUCAGCAUCCCGAGCAGCUGGGACUACAGGUGCAUGCCACCAUGCCUGGCUAAUUUUUGUGCUUUUUCGUGUAUAAAGAUGAGAUUUCGCCAUGUUGCCCAGGCUGGUCUCAAACUCCUGGGCUCAAGAGAUCUGUCCACCUCAGCCUCCUAAAGCGCUGAGAUUACAGGCAUGAGCCACCACGUCCAGCCUAGAGAUAUUUAUACUUUAAUAGCUGCCUGCAAUACCAAUACACCUAGAAUGAAUUAGAAGAAUUUGAAAACAGAUUUCAGGAUUAGUAAAAGAAAGUCAAGCCCUAUGCCUCCUGUUCUACAUUCCUCAAAUCACAUAAUCCUGAUUUUUUCCUCUUCGUAUGAAAAUUCCUCUCAUUUUGGGCCUGUUUGAUUUUUUGGGAGACACCACCCAGCAGAAACACACCGCACUUACAUGCAACCCCUCCAUUGCACAGUUUCUAAAUGCCCCCCCGCUUUUUUUUCCAUUCUCUGAUCCUAAAAAAAGAAAUCCAGUGGCACAAUCACGGAUCUCUGCAGCCUUGAUCUCUUAGCCUCAAGUGAUUCUCCUGCCUCAGCUUCCUGAGUAGCUGGGACCACAGGUGCUUGCCACCAUGCCCAGCUAUUUUUUUUUCUUUGUUUUUUUGUAAAGAUGUGUCUCACUAUCUUGCCCAGGCUGAUAUUGAAUUCCUGGGCUCAAGUGAUCCUCCUACCUUGGCCUCCCAAAGUGCUGGGAUUUUAUAUAUAUAUAUAUAUAUAUAUAUAUAUAUAUAUAUAUUUCCAUUUUACUUAUGUUAAUGCUUUCCCUCUUUUGGCAUAGAAAAGCUAAUAAAGCUUAAACUUAAAUGGAACUUGUAUAAACACAAUAUAUCUGAUGAUACCUUUGAGAGAUGUCUUACAUUUGUCUUUUCUUUCAGCAAAAUGUGAUGCCAGUCCCUGAAAUGUGUAGCAAUUUAAUUAUGGGUAGCAUUCUUCUUUCCCUGUACUUACUAUAGUAUUAACUUACUACUAAUGCUAAGAAGUUUAUAAUUUUUGAUAAUUCAGAUUUGGAUUAGAUUAAGAUUUAUGUCUAUGCAUAAUUCAUUAAAAACUUUUUAAACCAAAUUGUCAAAAAAGAUUGUAGGUACCUUGUUUAAAGAAAAUAUAUAAGCUAGUUUCAAGAAUUCCAAAAUAUUUUUUAAAAGCAGCUCUGUACAUGUCGAUAAAUUAUUUGCUCAUUGUAAUUUUUUGAAUCUGUUUGUCAAAGCAAAUGUAGACGGGCUCGAACUCCUGACCUCAAAUGAUCCACCCGCCUCAGUCUCCCAAAUGCUGGUAUUACAGGCAUGAGCCACUGCUCAUGGCCUGUUAUCAUUUUUAAUUGAAAAUUUUACUGAGAUAAUUGUAGAUUCACUUGCCAUUAUAAGAAAUAAUUCAGAGAUAUCACUUGUAUACUUAGCCCAGUGUCCCCCAAAGGUAAAAUUUUGCAAAAUUAUAGUCUAAUGUAACAGCGUGAAUAUUGACAUUAAUACAAUCCACUGAGUUUAUUCAGAUUUCCCCAGUUUUACUUGUAUUCAAUUGUGUGUUUGUGUAUUAAGUUCGAUAUAACUAGUCAAUAUACUGAACAGUUCUAACAUCACAAGUAUCCUUCAGGUAGCCCUUUUGUAUCCACAUCCACUUCCUUCUCAUCCCCAACUAUUGACAACCACUAAUCCCUUUUCCAUUUCUAAAAUGUGAUUUCAAAAAUGUUACAUACUUGGCUGGGGGCGGUGGCUCAUGCCUGUAAUCCCAGCACUUUGGAUAUACGGUCUCUACUAAAAAUACAAAAAUUAGCUGGGAGUGGUUGUGCACACCUGUAAUCCCAGGUGCUUGGGAAGCUGAGGCAGGAGAAUUGCUUGAACCCAGGAGGCAGAGCUUGCAGUGAGCCGAGAGUGUGCCACUUCACUCCAGCCUGGGCAACAGAGUGAGACUCUGUUUCAAAAAUAAAUAAAUAAAUAAAUAAAAUGGUCUUCAUACAGCCUUUGCUGCUAGGAAAUAUAGUUUCUAAUUAAUGUAAUUUUUUGUCAAAUACAAAAUGCUUCUGAACGUUUCUGGUUAUCAAGCUGGUAAUCUUUCACAGUGUCCUCAAUUUUUUUUUCUACUCUCUUACUAGUUCUCCAGAUCACAUGCAGGCUAUUAAGAAAUGUGAACUAACAAGUUAAAGUAGCAGGACGGGCGCUGUGGCUCACACCUAUAAUCCCAGCACUUUGGGAAGCUGAGGCAGGUGGAUCACUUGAGGUCAGGAGUUUGAGAGCAGCCUGGCCAACAAGGUGAAACCACAUCUCUACUAAAAAAAAAAAAAAUUUGCCAGGUGUGGUGGUGCAUACCUGUAAUCCUAGCUAUUUGGGAGGCUGAGGCAUGAGAAUCGCUUGAACCCAGGAGGCAGAGGCUGCGGGGAGCCAGGAUCAUAGCACUGCACUCCAGCCUGGGUGACAGAGCUAGACCCUGUCUGAAAAAAAAAAAAAAUGUUAGUAGCAGCAGAGCACAGUGGCUCAUGCCUGUAAUCCCAACACUAUGGGAGUCUGAGGCGGGAGGAUCUCUUGAGCUUAGGAGUUCAAGACCAGCCUGACAACAUAGUAAGACUCCAUCUCUACAAAUAAUCAUUAAAAAAAUUAGCCGGGCGUAGUGGCACCUACCUGUAGUCCCAGCUACUGGGGAGGCUGAGAUGGGAGGAUCACCUGGGCCUGGGAGGUCAAGGCUGCAGUGAGCUGUGAUCGCCAUUGUACUCCAAACUGGGUGACAAGAGUGAGACCAUGCCUCAAAAAUAAUAAU